GGAAGAUAUUUCCUUUUUCACCGUAGGCCUCAAAGCGCUCCAAAUGUCCACUUCCACAUACUACAAAAAGAGUGUUUCAAACCUGCUCUAUGAUAGGGAAUGUUGAAACCUAUGAGUUGAAUGCAAACAUUACAAAGAGGUUUCUGAGAAUGCUUCUGUCUAGAUUUUAUAUGUAGAUAUUCCCGUUUCCAACGAAAUCCUCAAAGCUAUCCAAAUAUCAACUUGCAGAUUCUACAAAAGGAAUGUUUCCAAAAUGCUGUAUCCAAACAAAGGUUCAACUCUGUGAAUUGAGGGCAUACAUCACAAAGAAGAUUCUGAGAAUGCUUCUGUCUAGAUUUUAUAUGAAAAUAUUCCCGUUUCCAACGAAAUCCUCAAAGCUAUCCAAAUAUCCACUUGCAAAUGCCACAAAAAGAGUGUUUCCAAACUGCUCUGUGAAAAGGAAGGUUCAACUCUGUUAGUUGAGUACACACAUCACAAAGAGGUUUCUGAGAAUGCUGCUGACUAGUUUUUAUUUGAAGAUAUUUCCCUUUUCACCUUAGGCCUAAGAG
rnacentral:lncRNA from 1 species